AGCGCGCAGGCGCGAUCGCACGGGUCCGGCGCCGGAAAGAUGCUGGCGGACAGCGCGCUGCGGCAGUGCGCGGGCUUGGGGACCGCUGUGCGGGACGGGCUUGGCGCUUGCAGCUCGUCCUGUCAGGGACGGGGUGGCAGGGUGAUGGCUGAAGGUGGAGCAUGCAGUUCAGUGAAUCACAGACGAAAGGACUAGGGUCCACGUGGGGCAGAAGUGCUUUGUAAGUUCCUCUGAAAUUAAGCUUUUGGUACGUGCAUUUCAAAGCAUCUGAAUUUGGGUCUGCACUGCCACAGGGGGUAGACUGUACAUCCUGCCACUUCUCCUGGAAACCAGAGGAAAGCAGUGUGACGGGGCUAUGGGAGGCUCAAGUCCAGGCUGAAGGCGCCACCGUCACUGGGACUGUACCCAGACAAGACCGCCAGAAUUACGGCAACUCUCUAGUUUUUUUCUGUUUGUUUUUUCCUUUGUGUUUUGAAAAACAGUCUCAAGUUCAGAGAGACUAAGCUGCUUGCUCCAGGCAGUAUAUCUGUCAUCAAAGCUGAGUGAUGUGAACAAAACCUAAUGCAGAAAUAAUCCCAGUGAUCCAACGUAUGUGGGUUCAGAAGCUCAUUCUUUUAUUUACAACGCCCCUCCCUCUCCCCUUCCUUUCCUUCUCCCGCCUGUGUGCCCCGACCCCAGCCCUCCCAACUUCUCCUCUCCUGCCCGCCCCUCCCUACCCUGGCCUCCUCUUGCCAGCUUUUGGGGAGUCCAGGGCAGCACCCUCCCAUCUGCCUGUGAUGGCCUGGCUUGUGGGUCAUGAACUUUUUUUUUCUUUUUUUCUUUUGGUUACGCUGCACAGCAGGCGGGAUUUUAGUUCCCUGACCAGGGAUCCAACCCGUGUCACCUGCAGUGGAAGCUCGGAGUCCCAACCACUGGACCGCCAGGGAUGUCCCUCUUGGGCCAUGAACUUAAUGUGUGGGUUGUGACCAGUAUUAAAUGUUGUAUCUCACAGUACAUCACACAUGGAAAUGGUUUUCUACGUGUUGUACUCUGUUGAGUCCAAGACACAUUUUUGAACAUUUCUGGACUCAGGAGAGAAUGGGCCUCAAAACUGGAUGGCACCUUAGCUACCCUCGGCCAGCUGAUGGUUUUGACAUGUAGAGUGAGUGGUUAGUCCAGUUGCCAAGCCCGCAUCACUGCAGCCACUCAUUUCUGUCAGCAAAAUAUUUAAGGACGAUUUAGGAAGGAAUAAGAAGACUGGUCGUUUUCUGAAAGCUUCUGUUGACACCAGGAUAAUGAAGGUGCUGACAUCAAGCCUUGCAGGACGGGUGUCAAUGGCCUGGAAUGAAAUCCUGGGGACAACAGGCUGCCUUCUCCUAAGAUGCUCCAACCAUGGUGUAUUUGAGGGCACAGAGGGGAAAACUUAGAUACUGAGGACUGACUCAAAAAGUUGGACUCUGGGUGAGGAAGUUUUAGGAACACCCAUACCAAUGUAUUUCACUUAUGUUAUAAGACUAUGUAAGUCUGAAAGUGCUUUAAAUAAACAUAAAAUGAGGACUUCCCUGGUGGCGCAGUGAUUAAGAAUCCGCCUGCCAAUGCAGGGGA